AGAUACCAGGGCAGGCAAAUUGUCAUCGACCUGGAGCUUUGGAGCCUCCUGGAAGAGCAUGGACUCAGUGUAAUAGAAGAGGCCAGAGAAGGCGAGGCUGGAGCCCAGACACAGCAGCUCCCCAGGAGUAAUGGGUUUGUCCAUGGUGCCAGGCUUGGGCGACAACGCCUGCAAGGCAGAACUGCGAGUUCCAGCAGCCUUUGCGAGCGC